UACGUAGGUGGCAAGCGUUUGUCCGGAUUACUGGGCGUAAAGGGCGUGCAGGCGGUUUGUUAAGUGCAGGGUGAAAGCUCCCGGCUCAACUGGGAGAGGUCCUUGCAUACUGGCGAACUCGAGGGAGGCAGAGGAAAGUGGAAUUCCCGGUGUAGUGGUGAUAUGCGUAGAUAUCGGGAGGAACACCUGUGGCGAAGGCGGCUUUCUGGGCCUUACCUGACGCUGAGACGCGAAAGCGUGGGGAGCGAACCGG
rnacentral:rRNA from 1 species